AAUGAACGUUGGCGGCGUGGAUUAGGCAUGCAAGUCGAGCGGAAAGGCCCGCAAGGGUACUCGAGCGGCGUAAGGGACAGUAAUGUAUGGGUCACGUACCUUCAGGACUGGGAUAGCUGCGGGAAACUGCAAUUAAUACCAGAUAACGUCUCCGGACCAAAGGUGUGAGUCCGCCUGGAGAGCGGCCCAUAUCCUAUUAGCUAGUUGGUGGGGCAACGGCCUACCAAGGCAAAGAUGGGUAGCAGGUGUGAGAGCACGACCUGCGUCACUGGGACUGAGAACUGCCCAGACACCUACGGGUGGCUGCAGUCGAGAAUCUUCGGCAAUGGGCGCAAGCCUGACCGAGCGACGCCGCGUGUGGGAUGAAGGCCUUCGGGUUGUAAACCACUGUCGGAGGGGAUGAAAUGCCGGUAGGUACUCCUAUCGGUUUGACUGAUCCUCGGAGGAAGGGUGGGCUAAGUUCGUGCCAGCCGCCGCCGUAACAC
rnacentral:rRNA from 1 species